rnacentral:ncRNA from 2 species
UAAUGGUCAUUCCGCGACGGUCGUCCGAUGAGGACGCGAAAUGGGAACGCGGUGCGAGGUUUCCAACCUCUAGUCCGCAGCUGUGCCCGCAACUGUAAGCGGCGAGCGCUACUGCCAUCACGCCACUGGGUCGAAGACGUUGCGUCUUUGAGGCCUGGGAAGGCGGCAGAAGCGCGUUUGAGCCGCAAGCCAGGAGACCUGCCGCCGCAACGUCGCUCGU